rnacentral:rRNA from 1 species
GAUGAACGCUGGCGGCGUGCCUAAUACAUGCAAGUCGAGCGAACAGACGAGGAGCUUGCUCCUCUGACGUUAGCGGCGGACGGGUGAGUAACACGUGGAUAACCUACCUAUAAGACUGGGAUAACUUCGGGAAACCGAAGCUAAUACCGGAUAACAUGUUGAACCGCAUGGUUCAACAGUGAAAGACGGUCUUGCUGUCACUUAUAGAUGGAUCCGCGCCGCAUUAGCUAGUUGGUAAGGUAACGGCUUACCAAGGCAACGAUGCGUAGCCGACCUGAGAGGGUGAUCGGCCACACUGGAACUGAGACACGGUCCAGACUCCUACGGGAGGCAGCAGUAGGGAAUAUUCGGCAAUGGGCGAAAGCCUGACGGAGCAACGCCGCGUGAGUGAAGAAGGUCUUCGGAUCGUAAAACUCUGUUAUUAGGGAAGAACAAAUGUGUAAGUAACUAUGCACGUCUUGACGGUACCUAAUCAGAAAGCCACGGCUAACUACGUG